AACCCACAUGGGUUCAAAUUGGGGCUCGCUCCUUCCUCUCUGGCCAAGCCUCUCGGAGUUUCAAGGACUCGAUCUGAGUCGUUCCAUGGGACUCAUAAGGUCCCUGUGGGUGAUACCCCCUACGUCAGAGCCAAGAAUGUUCAGGUAAGCUUCUAGGAACUUUUCGAAAUUCGAUUCCAAAACCUAGAUUAGUUUUUAUCUUACUCUAAUUCAUGGGAUAAUUGAUGGGUGUUUGGCUUUUGAUUUAAAUAGCUGGUGGAUAAGGAUCUAGACAGGGCUAUUCUUCUCUAAUUUCUUCUCUGUUAUUCUUGUAUUGGGUCUUGUUGUUGUGUGUUUCGAAUGCUAGAUGAGUAGUGGAUGUGUCUGGGGAGUAGUCAACCACCUCAAAGUUGUUAAGGACUCGUCGAAGCUUCAUUGAAAAAGUGCAAGAAUUACUCGACUUGGGUGCGGCAGUUGGUACUCAAAGCCGAGGGCUUUCUGACGAGCUCAUUAGCUUGCUUCCGACAACCAAAUACAAGUGUGUAAGCUUUUUCUCAAGAAAGAGAUCUGGAGAGAGUGAUGGUGCAGUUGCAUUGGUGCUAGUGAGUAGGGAAAAGGCACUUGAACUUGGGUUACAUGCUCUUGUUCUUCAUUCCUCCGGAAAACCAACAAAGUUGAUAACCCCCUUUGGUAAUGUAUCAUGCUCUUCUGCUGCAGUAUGUGCUAACUUGUGAAGCUUCACAACAAGCUUGGAGGUGAUGCAAAUGAGAAUAUAGUGCACAAGAUGCUUGAUAAAAUGGCACAAGAAGGUUUUGUUGAAGCAAAAAGAUAUUAUAUCAUCUUUUGAUUCAUGUGUAGCUAGCUAGGAAUGUUUUCUUGUUUGGUACAUUAUCUAGUUACUUGAAUGUAUGGAUGUUUGAAAAAUGGUAAUUGGAUGAUAUGGAUUUGAGUA